rnacentral:rRNA from 2 species
UACGUAGGGGGCAAGCGUUGUCCGGAAUUAUUGGGCGUAAAGCGCGCGCAGGCGGCUAUUUAAGUCUGGUGUUUAAACCUUGGGCUCAACCUGAGGUCGCACUGGAAACUGGGUGGCUUGAGUACAGAAGAGGAAAGUGGAAUUCCACGUGUAGCGGUGAAAUGCGUAGAUAUGUGGAGGAACACCAGUGGCGAAGGCGACUUUCUGGGCUGUAACUGACGCUGAGGCGCGAAAGCGUGGGGAGCAAACAGG